rnacentral:piRNA from 1 species
UAGGUAGCAUGGGAGGUCUCAGCAG